GGAAGUGCUAAAGCCUCCGAGGCCAAGGCCGCUGCUACUGCCGCUGCUGCUUCUUAGUGCCGCGUUCGCCGCCUGGGUUGUCACCGGCGCCGCCGCCGAGGAAGCCACUGCAACCAGGACCGGAGUGGAGGCGGCGCAGCAUGAAGCGGCGCAGGCCCGCUCCAUAGCGCACGUCGGGACGGUCCGGGCGGGGCCAGGGGGGAAGGUGCAGUAUCCGCCCCCCUCUCCUUCUCCUGCGCCGGCGAGGCCUGGGCCACGGCUCACCAGGCCCUUUCCGCCUCACGGAGGGACUGCUCGGCGCGUUCUCAGGGUCAGCGCGCUUUGCGGUUUACCUGGCGCGCCGCCCUGCCCAGUGCAAAGCCGGUGGUGCCCUCCCCCCCUCCCCCCAACUUGCCGGAAGAGGAAGCCGAGGCUCCGAGAUUCCGAGUCAACCACCGUUCACUGGGCGCCCCUUGAGCUCUGGGCGCUGGCCUCCUGACUUCCACGCUUUGAUGGUGAGGAAAGGAAAGAUUGCUGUGAGAAGAGCAGGAUGAGCAGAGGGAUUCUAUGCUUGAAGUCGAGUCACUUGAAAAAGAUCUCUUUGAAUGUGGAAGAGAUCUGAGCAGAUGAAAAUAAAAUCAGGAAAAUGCAACAUGGCAGCAGCAAUGGAAACAGAACAGCUGGGUGUUGAGAUAUUUGAAACUGCGGACUGUGAGGAGAAUAUUGAAUCACAGGAUCGGCCUAAAUUGGAGCCUUUUUAUGUUGAGCGGUAUUCCUGGAGUCAGCUUAAAAAGCUGCUUGCCGAUACCAGAAAAUAUCAUGGCUACAUGAUGGCUAAGGCACCACAUGAUUUCAUGUUUGUGAAGAGGAAUGAUCCAGAUGGGCCUCAUUCAGACAGAAUCUAUUACCUUGCCAUGUCUGGUGAGAACAGAGAAAAUACACUGUUUUAUUCUGAAAUUCCCAAAACUAUCAAUAGAGCAGCAGUCUUAAUGCUCUCUUGGAAGCCUCUUUUGGAUCUUUUUCAGGCAACACUGGACUAUGGAAUGUAUUCUCGAGAAGAAGAACUAUUAAGAGAAAGAAAACGCAUUGGAACAGUCGGAAUUGCUUCUUACGAUUAUCACCAAGGAAGUGGAACAUUUCUGUUUCAAGCUGGUAGUGGAAUUUAUCACGUAAAAGAUGGAGGGCCACAAGGAUUUACGCAACAACCUUUAAGGCCCAAUCUAGUGGAAACUAGUUGUCCCAACAUACGGAUGGAUCCAAAAUUAUGCCCUGCUGAUCCAGACUGGAUUGCUUUUAUACAUAGCAACGAUAUUUGGAUAUCUAACAUCGUAACCAGAGAAGAAAGGAGACUCACUUAUGUGCACAAUGAGCUAGCCAACAUGGAAGAAGAUGCCAGAUCAGCUGGAGUUGCUACCUUUGUUCUCCAAGAAGAAUUUGAUAGAUAUUCUGGCUAUUGGUGGUGUCCAAAAGCUGAAACAACUCCCAGUGGUGGUAAAAUUCUUAGAAUUCUAUAUGAAGAAAAUGAUGAAUCUGAGGUGGAAAUUAUUCAUGUUACAUCCCCUAUGUUGGAAACAAGGAGGGCAGAUUCAUUCCGUUAUCCUAAAACAGGUACAGCAAAUCCUAAAGUCACUUUUAAGAUGUCAGAAAUAAUGAUUGAUGCUGAAGGAAGGAUCAUAGAUGUCAUAGAUAAGGAACUAAUUCAACCUUUUGAGAUUCUAUUUGAAGGAGUUGAAUAUAUUGCCAGAGCUGGAUGGACUCCCGAGGGAAAAUAUGCUUGGUCCAUCCUACUAGAUCGCUCCCAGACUCGCCUGCAGAUAGUGUUGAUCUCACCUGAAUUAUUUAUCCCAGUAGAAGAUGAUGUUAUGGAAAGGCAGAGACUCAUUGAGUCAGUGCCUGAUUCUGUGACGCCACUAAUUAUCUAUGAAGAAACAACAGACAUCUGGAUAAAUAUCCAUGACAUCUUUCAUGUUUUUCCCCAAAGUCACGAAGAGGAAAUUGAGUUUAUUUUUGCCUCUGAAUGCAAAACAGGUUUCCGUCAUUUAUACAAAAUUACAUCUAUUUUAAAGGAAAGCAAAUAUAAACGAUCCAGUGGUGGGCUGCCUGCUCCAAGUGAUUUCAAGUGUCCUAUCAAAGAGGAGAUAGCAAUUACCAGUGGUGAAUGGGAAGUUCUUGGCCGGCAUGGAUCUAAUAUCCAAGUUGAUGAAGUCAGAAGGCUGGUAUAUUUUGAAGGCACCAAAGACUCCCCUUUAGAGCAUCACCUGUACGUAGUCAGUUACGUAAAUCCUGGAGAGGUGACAAGGUUGACUGACCGUGGCUAUUCACAUUCUUGCUGCAUCAGUCAGCACUGUGACUUCUUUAUAAGUAAGUAUAGUAACCAGAAGAAUCCACACUGUGUGUCCCUUUACAAGCUAUCAAGUCCUGAAGAUGACCCAACUUGCAAAACAAAGGAAUUUUGGGCCACCAUUUUGGAUUCAGCAGGUCCUCUUCCUGACUAUACUCCUCCAGAAAUUUUCUCUUUCGAAAGUACUACUGGAUUUACAUUGUAUGGGAUGCUCUACAAGCCUCAUGAUCUACAGCCUGGAAAGAAAUAUCCUACUGUGCUGUUCAUAUAUGGUGGUCCUCAGGUGCAGUUGGUGAAUAAUCGGUUUAAAGGAGUCAAGUAUUUCCGCUUGAAUACCCUAGCCUCUCUAGGUUAUGUGGUUGUAGUGAUAGACAACAGGGGAUCCUGUCACCGAGGGCUUAAAUUUGAAGGCGCCUUUAAAUAUAAAAUGGAAGCUUUAAAUGCUACCUUUUAGAGAUGCCCCAUGUCCUUUCUGCUGCUUUGGGAAAUGAUGAGAAUCCGAUGUUCCUUUUGCACAGUAAGGCAGUUACUGUGUUUGCCAGUGUUAUUGGACAUGCUGAGGUCAAAUAGAAAUUGACGAUCAGGUGGAAGGACUCCAAUAUCUAGCUUCUCGAUAUGAUUUCAUUGACUUAGAUCGUGUGGGCAUCCACGGCUGGUCCUAUGGAGGAUACCUCUCCCUGAUGGCAUUAAUGCAGAGGUCAGAUAUCUUCAGGGUUGCUAUUGCUGGGGCCCCAGUCACUCUGUGGAUCUUCUAUGAUACAGGAUACACGGAACGUUAUAUGGGUCACCCUGACCAGAAUGAACAGGGCUAUUACUUAGGAUCUGUGGCCAUGCAAGCAGAAAAGUUCCCCUCUGAACCAAAUCGUUUACUGCUCUUACAUGGUUUCCUGGAUGAGAAUGUCCAUUUUGCACAUACCAGUAUAUUACUGAGUUUUUUAGUGAGGGCUGGAAAACCAUAUGAUUUACAGAUCUAUCCUCAGGAGAGACACAGCAUAAGAGUUCCUGAAUCUGGAGAACAUUAUGAACUGCAUCUUUUGCACUACCUUCAAGAAAACCUUGGAUCACGUAUUGCUGCUCUAAAAGUGAUAUAAUUUUGACCUGUGUAGAACUCUCUGGUAUACACUGGCUAUUUAACCAAAUGAGGAGGUUUAAUCAAUAGAAAACACAGAAUUGAUCAUCACAUUUUGAUACCUGCCACGUAACAUCUACUCCUGAAAAUAAAUGUGGUGCCAUGCAGGGGUCUACGGUUUGUGGUAGUAAUCUAAUACCUUAACCCCACAUGCUCAAAAUCAAAUGAUACAUAUUCCUGAGAGACCCAGCAAUACCAUAAGAAUUACUAAAAAAAAAAAAAAAAAAAGACAUUAGCACCAUGUAUUCAUACUACCCUAUUUUCACUUUUAAUAGUAUUAUAAACUUCAUGAACUUAAUUAGUGUAUUUUUACAGUAUACUUUUGAGUUUGUUAAAAUAUGAUGAUAUUAGUGAUUGGUUUGGUUCAGUUCCAGAAUCUCUGACUAGUUACAGAUUUGAUAGCACUUAAAUGUAAUUGAAUAGCUUAUGCUUCAUUGCUUGGGCAUAUCCAGCAUGUUAUGAACUAAUAACUAUUAAACUUAACCAGUCAUUCAUUAAUAAUUUUUCAAGGAUAACUUAGUGGCCUCCUAAAGACACUUGUUUUGGCACUGACCAGUUUUUAGCCAAUUUAAUCUGUAUCUAGUAUAAAUAAUUCUCAUUUUUCUUUGAUGAUAUUAACAGUGGGCUUUUCCUUUUGCAUAAAGGCUAGUAACUGUAUAUGUAGCAUGGAUUUAAUUAGUCAUGAUAUUGAUAAUUACAGGCAGAAAAUUUUUAAUCAAAUGAUUAGAGCUUAAAUAUUUGCAGGCAAGUUUUUUUUUUUCCUUUAAGAAAAGGAAAAAGUACACAUUCACUAGAAUUCUUCAGAAAAUUUAGUGGUGCCAGUUUCCAUUUGGUAUUUCCUUAUUAAAAUAUUCUAGAAUUUUAAGGAGAUUGAAGGGAAUCACAGUGGGGUGGGGAGACCUGGGUUUGGGGAAUGACAGAGAGAAGAGGUGGUGAGGGCCUGAUUAAAAACUAAGCAGAAGUAGUUUUAACAAAAAUACUCAUGAAAAUGUUUGGAAACUGAAAUUUAAACAACUGUAAUAUUAAGGAAACCAGAAUCAAUAAAUCACUGUCUUGCCAGCACAGCUACAGAGUAACAUGAUUCAGGGGAGGAAAAGUUCCUUAGAGUUACUUUUAUAAUUCUUUUUUUUUUUUCCUCUUAGGUUUAGAAAUCUUACAAAUUUAAACUUUAUCCUUUUAAAAUUAUUUGAACAUAAUUUAGAUAUUGUAAGCUUAAAAUACAAAUGUUUACAGAUAACCUCUUUACCGUAAACUAAUCCCUGGCAAGCCAUGGCUCUCUUUUUUUUUGGUGUUUAAAGCCUGUAAACAGUUUUUCUGAAUGAUCGUGAACUUUUCUUGGUUUAGCACUAGGAUUUAGCUAUGAAGAGAGCUCAUAGGCUUUCAGGUGCUAAUUGAGAUCUGCCCUGUUAGAGUCUUGGGGUGCUAGAUUGGUCACAUUGACACCAGUGGCAGGGAAGGCAUCUAUGAGUUUGAUGCUUUUUAUCACACACUUCAGUGUUUAGAAAGUUAUUACCAAUACUUUUAAACAACACUCCAAGAAAAUUUGCUAUAUUUCUUUCUCAUCACUACAGAGAGAGUAGAUUUCCCCAUAGAGAGCACAGCCUCCAUUAGUAAGGUUGGUGACUAUUGGUAAGAGGUGGACUUCAUUGACACCAAGUGGGAGGUAGGGAAAGCCCAGAAAUGGCAGGAUGAUAUGGUGGUUCUGUCAUUGGGAAAGGUAUUGGGUUUUGCUGUUUGUAUUUAUACUGUAUAAUAGAUACCACGCUUUUUCUUAUCUGUAUAUGUAUUGCUUUUCAUGUUUGAUAUUUUCCCAUGCCAAGAUUUGUUUAUAUAUAUUUUCAAUGUUAAAUUAAAUUGAUUUGGGUAACUUUCUUCCCCAAGAAAGUAUUUUCCCCCUUAAGUAUAUAUCUGACUGUGGAGGGUGUUUUGUUUUGUUUUGUUUUGUUUGGACUAAUUGGCCUUGAAGGAUCUAUCCUUAUAAUAUAUGCAAAGUAGAAAUGGUAUACAGUAGCUUUUAAGCAGCUACUGCAUUGAAACGUCUCACCCAUUAAGGCUGUUUCUUCAAAGUGGCAUCUCUUAUUUUACCGAAACAAACUUAGAAAACUUCAUGUACUCAGGAGUUCACAGGUGUUUUCCUUUUGCAUGUUGCCUUCUCCUUUCCUCCUAUCACAAAGAAUGCUUCUAUUAUCACUCCCAGUCACUUAAAUGCCAUUCUGCUUCUUUAGCAGGAAAAAAUACCUGAAUGAAUUCUCUUACAGAAAGACAGUUUGACUGAAUUUGCUUUUUACAACCAGUGUGGAAAAUAUCAUAGUCAAUUGAGGCAAUCAGUAGAAAUCUCACUAAAAGUUUGUACCCCCUGAGUAUGGGUAACAGCUUAAACGGCAAGAAUAUAUAAAAGUAGCAACAGUUUAGUGGGAGCCAAAAAGCACUAGGUUAAAUAUCAUACUACGUUUUUAAAGACUUGAUAAAUGUGUACACUUGAACAACCAUCCAGAGGGAUAGUUACUUGAGCAUUAUAGAGUAGUGGAACUCAAAAUCUAAGAUUCAUCUGGGAUACUUCUAAAAGAAAUGUAGAGUUUUGAAUCUCACUCUUAAAAAUGUGUAUUCCCAGGCUAGGCAUGGUGGCUCACGCCUGUAAUCCUAGCACUUUGGGAGGCCAAGGCGGGUGAAUCACUUGAAGUCAGGAGAUCAAGACCAGCUUGGUCGACAUGGUGAAACCCCGUCUCUACUAAAAGUACAAAAAAAUUAGCUGGACAUGAUGGCGUGUGCCUAUAAUCCCACCUACUCGGGAGGCUGAGGCAGGAGAAUCGCUUGAACCUGGGAGGCAGAAGUUGCAGUGAGCCGAGAUGGCGCCACUGUAGUCCAGUCUGGGCGACAGAGUGAGAUUCUGCCUCAAAAUAAAUAAAUAAAUAAAAAUUUGUAUUCCAUUGAUUUGGGUAGACACCAGGAAUGUGCAUUUCUAACAAGCUUUCCAGGCGAUCCUACAGUAAGUCAUCUGUGGACUACUUUAAGAAACUCUUCUAUAGAGAAUGGAGUUGGAUUAAUAAUAGGUGAUUUUUUACACUGGACUGAUUCACAAGAACCUAAACAGUAGUCCAUGAAGCUGCUCAUCUGUGGUAACUAUUUGGCCCCUUCUCACUCUGAAAGCAGCAGGAGAUGUUGUUUACUUUGUUUCUAUCCCCUUUGUCUGGAGAUUAAUUUUGGAAUGAAAGUUUUUCUCUCUAUGCCAUUCCUGGUUCUUUUCCAAAGCCUCAUACAAGAGGAUUAGGUCACAAUGCAUGCAUUACCUUUUAAAAGAAUGCGAUAUUGAUACCGAUGCUUACUUUUUUUUUUUUUACUACUUGUUUUAUUCCUUCCAGAAAGUAUAGCCCGCCUUUCUAUAGCAUAGUUCUCUUUAGGUGGAAUGAUUCCUAUAAGAUUUCUCAUUAUUAAAUCAUGCAUUUUUCAAGAUGGAAUCAAUCUUUGAUUUAAUCUAAGCUGAUAUUCUCAUUUGUUAGAAGAACAACCUACAUGCUAGAGAGAGAGGAGGAAAUAUACCCACGACCACACAGCCAGUUAGUAUCCAGUUGGUGCUGGACUCCAGCCAGGUGUCCUGCCUCAUGGUAGUUAAAUGAUAUAUAGAAAAGGUAAAUUUUUAAAGAAAUAUUUAUUAAUAUAUUCCUAUAAAACAUUUUAAAGGUAACCACAUAAAAAUGGUUAAUUUUUCCAUUCCAAAGUAAAUGCUAAGCAUGUUUAUUAAUGAAGCAGUACUUCUGAUUAGUAUAUGACAUUCUGAAGUUAAUUAAACUCAUUGCACUAAAUGUGUCUUCCUUGGUAUAGUGGAGGAUUUGAGGAUUGGAAUAUAAAGUAGAGUGCUUGCUUAAGCCUGGGAGCCCAUCUUUAUAGCUAUUUGAUGUAAGAAAAGAGACAUGGCCAUUUCUAAACUAUAUAAGGUGAGUGUGUCUAUUCCCAGCAGAUAUAAAGGAAAAAGGAAACUUUUUUGAUUCCCACCUUCCCAGCCUCACCUAGCCAUCUUCCAGCCUCAAAUAUAGAGAUGUUAGUGCAAGGUCCUGGGCUCUAGGUAAUCAUUUCAUAAGUCCUUUACAGAUAAAGAAAAAGUAGUGUUUGUAUGUUUGUUUUUAAGUAACCCCAAAACAAAUUUAUGUUGUAUUCAGCAAAAUUGGAAUUCAGGUGUUUAAUUUUAGAACAUAAAGUGCCUGCUGUUUUAAGCAUUGACUUGUAUAAAAAGAAUUGCAUGUCUCACUCCAGUAAGCUUAUGGGUUUUCUCAUUUUUAGGUAUAUGGCUUUUAAUCAUGUAAAGUGAAACAUUAGUUUUGUUGCAUUUUAUUACAGGUUCUUUGUUGCAAUAAAGAUGCUGCUGAAAUUAAUUGA